rnacentral:lncRNA from 1 species
AUAAAUGGGGGUCAUGCUUUUACUAAAAUUUAUGAGGCAGGAUUUGAAUAUAUUUGCAAAAGCAAUCUCUCCAACAAAACUUUCCUAGCUUCAAGAAACCCUAGUAUAAUAAAAAAUUGACUCAUAAAUAAGGAUUAAUCUCUUUUCUUUUAAGAGACACGAAAACAAAUUACCAAUAUAUUUGUAGUGUAAAUCUUAUUAACAACGAACAAUGCUUCAAAUAAUCUCUAACAAUCGAAGGGGACGGGCAAAAGAAAUGCAUCUAGCAAGAAAAAAACUUGUUCAAAAAUUAUAUACGGCAUAAUUCAGUAGAAUGUAAAAACAGGAUAAUUUUCUUUUAUGUGAAUUAAGGUAUAAGACAAUCAAUGAAUUUGCAAAGUGACAGUAAGGAAUAUCAAGGCAUGUCAAGGCUCAACACCCCCAAUCCUUUGCCCUUCAUAAGCAAAUCAAUGGAUCCUGGAGUAUUGAGGAGUCCCACAAAAUAUUAAGAAUCUACCAAGAUUUUUCACUCACACAACAAUGAACAAAAUACACAUUCUGUGAACACAAAAAAAAGAAAGCAAGACAUAAGCUACCAAUAUAUAGCAAAUAAUAUAAACAUAUCAAAUCAUAUAUAGAGAAGAAUGAAGUAGCAUACCCUUUCCACUAAGGUUCCAUUAUUGAGUCCUUUAAGUGACAAAGAUGUAAUUAGGGUUCAUGUAAAUCUAGGUAUUUUUUCAUGCUACAGCCAUCAGAUGAAGCUACCACAUGAUCUGAUCUUCCCUCAACAAACGAGAAAGGUUUAGAUCACGCUGGCAGCUUUAGCCGAUACUAGUGCACGCCUUAGGGUGGUAGAAUUAGCAAAGAGACAAUCCAAUUUCUCUCCUUCUUCUGCAAAAAGUUAUGCCCAUAGAAGAGAGGGCAUAUGACAAUAAAUAGAGGUCCCAACUAGGAGGGAUUAAAGGACAUUAU